rnacentral:misc_RNA from 1 species
CAAGUGCGAUAAAUAAUGUGAAUCGCAGAAUCAACUGAAUCAUCGAAUUUUUGAACGCAUAUUGCGCCCGUUGGUAUUCCAACGGGCAUGCCUGUUCGAGCGUCAUUACAAGUUUAAAAUUCUGGCGCGAGCGCUUGCGUUCGCCGCCAGGCGUUGGAGCUCUAGGGCUUGGGGGGGCGCCGGCUCUCUCUCCUAGUCUCUCAAAUGGAUUCGCCUACGAGCCCCGUAGCAUAGCCGGACGCAUUAAGUUUUGGUCAAUUCAGACACUUCGUCAGGAUUAUCAGGCGCUGCAGCAGGCGUUAAGCCCGCUCGUCUCUCGACGACCAUAGAAACAAACUUGACCUCGGAUCAGGCAGGACUACCCGCUGAACUUAA